GUCAUAUGCUUGUUUCAAAGAUUAAGCCAUGCAUGUCUCAGUGCAAGCCGAAUUAAGGUGAAACCGCGAAAGGCUCAUUAAAUCAGCUAUGAUUCAAUUGAUGGUACGAUCACGGUUACUUGGAUAACUGUGGCAAUUCUAGAGCUAAUACAUGCCAAACGAGUUCCGACCGCGGGUUCGAACGAUCUCGCGGAACGAAUGCUUUUAUUAGAACAAAACCAAUCGGAUCUCGUUCGAACGAACGAUACGAGAUCCGCAAAUCUAUGACGAAUCUGAAUAACUUUGAGCUGAUCGCACGGUCCAUAGAACCGGCGACGCAUCUUUCAAAUGUCUGACUUAUCAACUUUCGAUGGUAGGCUACGCGCCUACCAUGGUGAUAACGGGUGACGGGGAAUCAGGGUUCGAUACCGGAGAGGGAGCCUGAGAAACGGCUACCACAUCCAAGGAAGGCAGCAGGCGCGCAAAUUACCCACUCCCGGCACGGGGAGGUAGUGACGAAAAAUAACGAUGCAGGACUCUUUUCGAGGCUCUGCAAUCGGAAUGAGAACACUCUAAAUCAUUUAACGAGUAUCCAUUGGAGGGCAAGUCUGGUGCCAGCAGCCGCGGUAAUUCCAGCUCCAAUAGCGUAUAUUAAAGUUGCUGCGGAUAAAAAGCUCGUAGUUUGAUUUGUGUUCCGAGCAGUCGGUACGCCGUUCGUCGGCGGUCAACUGACUCGCGGCGGAACGUCCUGCCGGUUGACGGAGCGGGUGGCGGCGGCGGCGCGAGUCGUCGCCGCCUCGAGUGGUCGGAGGUAAGAGCGCCCGAUCUUCGGAUCGUGGCGCGCUUCGCGUCCGACGACGUUUCUGCGUCCGUCAGUCUUAGAAAAUCCCGUCGCGGCGCUCUUAACCGAGUGACGCGCCGGGCCGGCACGUUUACUUUGAACAAAACUGAGUGCUUAAAGCAGGCCGAACCCCAGCGCCUGAAAGUCGGAUGCAUGGAAUAAUGGAAUAGGGCCUCGGUUCUAUUUUGUUGGUUUUCGGAAUUUCCGAGGCAAUGAUUAAUGGGGACAGGCGGGGGCAUUAGUAUUGCGGCGUUAGAGGUGAAAUUCUUGGAUCGUCGCAAGACUAACCUAAGCGAAAGCAUUUGCCAAGGAUGUUUUCCUUAAUCAAGAACGAAAGUUGGAGGUUCGAAGGCGAUCAGAUACCGCCCUAGUUCUUACCGUAAACUAUGCCGGCUAGCGAUCCGUCGAUGUUCGUUCAGAUGAUUCGGCGGGCAGCUUGAGGGAAACCAAAGCCUUCGGGUUCCGGGGGAAGUAUGGUUGCAAAGCUGAAACUUAAAGGAAUUGACGGAAGGGCACCACCAGGAGUGGAGCUUGCGGCUUAAUUUGACUCAACACGGGAAACCUCACCAGGCCCGGGCACCGGAAGGAUUGACAGAUCAAGAGCUCUUUCUUGAUUCGGUGGGUGGUGGUGCAUGGCCGUUCUUAGUUGGUGGAGCGAUUUGUCUGGUUAAU
rnacentral:rRNA from 1 species